AAGUGCUUUGCAAUUGUUAAAUUAACAGAAAAACCCAAUCUGUUGUGUUACAUAGCUGGUGUUCUGUACCUGAGCACUUCUCACGACAGCCUGGGAUUAUGGCCCGGUAUUACUCUCCAGGAAAGGGAGACCCAAAAUGGUGGCCUCACGUAUCCUCUUGUAAAUAAAAUCAGACAUAGAUCUGUCCCAUAGAGGGUGGAAUUUUCUAUUUUUAAACUUCACUUGAUAUAUUUUAUGGACCCAGGGUGUCCAGUAAACUAAAGCAGGCAUUUAGGAUUGGCACCAAGAUGUCAAAGAAAAAUCAGUCCCGUCCUCAGAUUGGAGAAAAGAGACACAGGCUGAGACGCAAGGCAGGUGGGAAGGAGAGUUGAUGAGGGAGCAAAAGGGAAAGGAAGGCAGAGCACAAGCUAACACCCUACACCGCCUCCUCUGCAGUGGGAUCUGUGUGACAUUCCUCAGGCGCCCCUGAUGCCCAAAAACAAAAGGAAGGGAAAAACAAAUGGUUAACUGUUAGAGAUCACAGUCAUGCGGGACACGGGACAUGACUCUUCAUCAGUUUGCAACUGUCUUAGUAAUUUACAAGAAAAACGCCAUCCCCAGAAACCUGUAGACUCACUUCCCUGGGACCCCCACCUCCAUGGGAAAGAAAAUCUUAUGUAAUCAGUCACUCCUCACAAUCCUAGGGCAGCUCUUUUCUGUCCCCAGGUCCUGUCCCUGUGCUAUAAUAAAAUCACCUUUUUGCACCAAAAAUGUCUCAAGAAUUCUUUCUUGGCCGUUGUCUCCGGAACCCCCGCCUCCAGACAUGCCGGAAUGAGCUCUGAGGACUGAGAGCCCUGCCUGUGCACUGCAGUGAAGAGACGCCUGACUCCUAGAUUAGCACGGGAGGGACCCUUUUCACUUGUCCAGAGACGCUCAGGGAAGAAGGGAAUUGGGAUGAAAGGUCUUUGGAGUUUCCCGCUUGUCUAAGUCCAGCUGCCUGAUAAGUCUUUCCUUCCCUGGGAGUUGGGAGAAGCAGGCUGGCCAUACAGCUUGGAAUGCAAGUGAGAUGGCUGGAGCUCUAGCCGGCUUAGAUCCCAGCUGUGGGGGAAGGGCUGCUAACAGGAACCUGGCAAAUCUGUGGAGUUUCCAUACCGGCCCCGGACUUUCUGGAUUUCCUGGACUUCUACAUCUGGACUGUUUUUGUAUGGGAGAGACAUGAACCUCUUUCAGCCACUAUCAUUUUGGGUUGUCUAGUCAACAGAACUUAACCUAAUCUCCCAAUAGCAAUGCGUUGCUAUUCCUUUGGGGGGGGAAAAAAGUAGCCAUAAAAUCAUCUGCUCUUUAUCUGUUUUGUUUCCGUGUAUUUAAUUGGGAUUCUGUAACUUCCUGAAUGUCAUUUGCAUGUAUUAGUCUGUUUCGAUUUUCAUUCCCCUUCUUGAAUCAGUUAGGUCAUUCGAUUUCUUUUAAAAAGUAAUUUCUCAAAAUGUUCAAGUUUAUUUGCACGCAAUUCUUCAAAUUACUCUCAAAGCUAGGAUUUCCUGCAUAUGCUCUCUUGAUUCCAUUUUACUUCCUGUUUUCUUUUUUAAAACUCUGCAUUCGAAUAGUCAGUGAUUUAUCCAGUAUGGUAGCAUUUUUCCCCUUAAGGACGAGAACUUUGUUUUCUUUCUGGAACUUGCCUGCACCUGAAUCAGUUUCUCAUUUUAUCUCUAUUACCCUUAUGGCUUCCAAAGGUUUGUUUUGUUAAUUUAAAAAAAGGUCUUAGUUGAA